CAAGAAAGAAAAGCUGGACUAUAAGGAGGCAAGAGAUUUGCCCUCUCUGGUCAUGCCCGGCGCCCGUUAGUGAUACCAGAAGGUUGGAGCCAGAACCUGGCGCAUGCUGCUCUCUACUUCCGGUUUGUGGUCCCAGGCUAACCCGAAACUCCCUCCACCUUCAGGAUGCUGAGAUUCCAGCUCUGACCCUCCAUGCCCUGCUUCCUAGCCUCCCAUUUGACUCCGCCAGCAGCAGCAGGAGGAGGAGGAGGAUUCUCAGAAUUGGACCUGUGUUCCUUUCCCUGGUGACACACGGAUGGGCCAACACUGCAGAUGGCUGCCACCCUGAAGCUGGAAGCCACAUGCCAGUCCAGACCUCGGGGAAUCUCUGCCCUGAACAGUUUUCUUCAGAAUAGGGUCUGUGCCUCAUCUUUAGACUGUCAGCAUGCCGAAGAAAGGAAAGUUCCGUGUCUAAAAAACAGUGAUGCUCCUGCUCAUUGUUGAACAGCCAGACUGAUACGGCUGAGGCAGGAGGAUGGUGAGUUCCAGUUCACCAUGGGCAAUGGCUAGAGACUCUAUCUCAAAGAGAAAGUAAAAGGGGGCCAGGAAAUGAUGUGAGGACACAGGUUCAAUUCCCAGCAGUGAAAUAAAGAAAAAUAAAUAAAUAAAAAAAUAAAUAAAUCCUGCCCUUUACAACGUAUGAACAAGAUGAACAAGAAGGACCUUAAGAUGAGCAAUGCGUAAAAAAGCUGUGCCUUGGUAGCACACAGCUUUAAUCCCAGCACCUGGGAGGCAGAGGAAGGUGGAUCUCUGAGUUCGAGGCCAGCCUGGUCUACAGAGUGAGUCCCAGGACUACACAGAGAAACCCUGUCUCCAAAAACCAAAAACAAACAAACAAACAAACAAACAAAAAAGGAAAAAAAAGAAACGGGCAAGAAAGAAAAAAAAUAAAAAAGCAAAAUAAGCCAGAUUCAGAAAGACCAGUAUCAAGUGAUGUCACUUUUAUGUGGGGAAGUCAAUGUCAUAGAAAUAGAGACUAGAAUGAUGGAUGCCAGCAACCGGGAGGAGAGAAAGGGGGAGAUGUGAGUCAAAGGCUGUCAUAGCAUAACAUUUUGGAGGACCAAAGUACAGCAUUGUGAUUAUAGUUGAUAACUAAGUAAGUCAGGGUGGGAGAGAUGGCUCAUGGGGAAAAAAGCACUAGCCCUGCAAGCUGAUACUUGAGUUUGCUCUCUGGAACCCACAGUGGGAGGAAAGGGCUUACUGACGAAAGUUCCUUGCUUAUCAUCCACAUACAUGCUGUGGUAAUAAUGUCCGUUCUCACCUGUACCCAUCUUACAUACACUUAGGUCAUACUGAGGCUCAAACCAAGGCCUUGGGCAUGUCAGUGAAGCAUUUUACCAACUUACAGCUACAUCCCUGUGUAGGGAUCUUGUCCUAUGUCCCAGCCCGUCCUCAAACUCAUCCUCCCACCUAUGCCUCUUAAGGGCUUGGUAGCUAUGUGCUGUCACUCCUGGCCAUCAGUUUGAUUUCAAUGAAUCCAAGGAAUGAAUGAAUGAAGAGUUAUCAUGAAAGCAAGCAUCCAUAUCAAGUCUGUGUAUAGACGUCCUCAGCUCCCCUGUUGACUCAUUAGCAGGCCGGAGUUUUCCGUCUCCUUUUCCAUUCCAUAAACGGAUCUAAAUCAAGAGCUGUUGGCCGGCCCCGGAGGUAGCAAGGAAAAGUGUUCCUGCUUUUGGUCGGGGUCUCUGAAGGGUGAUCUGCCACAGGAACAAUGAAAGCCAGGUGCCUCCCAGUAUGGGUAGGGACAUGUAGAAAAAUAUCCUCGGAUUACUUCCAGCCCUUUUGACUAUGGGGAAAACUCUUAUUAGUGUCAGGCAUUACCCACCAUCCCUCCCUAGAAUUUUCUCCGCCAUUUUCUGGCUACAAACUCCAAGAAAGAGAAAACGGUCUGACCCAGGGCUGAGGCAGCGAGAGUCUUUUCCUUGGAUUUUUGUACACUUCAUUUCUAUAUUUUUAUAAUGCUGUGGAUCAAAUGCAAGGCUCCGCUUACACCAGGUAAGCUGUUUACUGCCCAGUUAGCUACUUGACACAAGCCAGAAUUGGUUUUGAAGAGGGGGAAAAAAAAGUCUCCAUCAGAUUGGCCUGUAGGGCAUUUUCUCGAUUGGUGGUGAGUGUGGGAGGGCCCCAGCUCACUGUGGGUGCUAUCACCUCUGUGUUAGAGAUCCUGGGUGCUGUGAGAAAGCAGGCUUGGAUGGGGGUGGCUGGAGAGAUGGCUUAAUGGUUAGGAGCUCUUGCUGUUCUUACAGAAUCAGGGUCCGGUUCCCAACACUCUUGCCUGACAACCUUCAUGUUAGACGUGAACAUGGUGCACACACAUACAUACAGGCAAACUACUCACAUAAAAUAAGUAAAUCUAAAAGAAGACAGCACAGCAGGGCUGGGCAAUCCAUGAGGAGCAAGCCAGUAAGCAGCACUCCACCAUGGCCUCUGCAUCAGCUCCUGCCUCCAGGUUCCUGCCUUGAACUUUCUUGGUUUUUGGGUUUUUUUAAAGAUUUAUUUAUUUAUUUUGUGUAUAUGAGUACACUGGAGCUGUACAGAUGCAGAUGGUUGUGAGCCUUCAUGUGGUUGCUGGGAAUUGAAUUUAGGAUCUCUGCUCCCUCCUGCCCAAAGAUUUAUUUAUUAUUAUUAUAUAAGUAUACUAUAGCUGUCUUCAAACACACCAGAAGAGGGCAUCCGAUCUCACUACAGAUGGUUGUGAGCCACUAUGUGGUUGCUGGGAUUUGAACUCAGGACCUUUGGAAGAGCAGUUAGUGCUCUUAAUCGCUGAGCCAUCUCACCAGCCCUUGCCCUGACUUUCUUUAAUGAUGGACCUUGAUGUGGAGCCAAAAUAAACCCUUUCCUCUCCAAGUUGCUUUUGGCCAUAGUAUUUAGCACAACAACUGGAACUUGAAACCUAAGUAAGAUAGCCACUGAGCUAUAUUUCUAGCUCUUGUAUUUUAAAUUUUAUUUAUAAAAGAACGUUUUUAAACAUUUAUUUUUAUGUGUCUGUGUGAACAUGCCAUGUGACUGUAGUACCUAGAGAUGCCGAAAGAGGGCGCGCUAAAACCCCCAGAGCCGAAGUUCCAGGUGACUGUGAGCCACUGGAUGUAGAUGCUGGGAACUGAAUUCAGGUUCUCAGCUCUUUUUGUUUGUUUUUGAGACCCGGCCACGUUGUGUACAUCAGGCUGGCCUAAAACUUGCCAUGUAAAUCAGGCUGGCCUCCAGCUCAGAGAUCUAUCUACCUCUGCCUCCUGAGUGCUGGGCUUAAAGGUAUGUACCAUCAAGACCAGAGAGCAAUACUUGCACUUAACUGCUGAACUCUCUCUCCAGCCCAACCCUUGGGUUUUUAAAUCUAGAGCAGGUAGGGCCUCAGGCUUAUCUCAUUUGCCUAAUGAUAUUUGAAAUAUUGUGAAAUAAGAUAUUCACGCUGGGAGAUAAAAUUUGAUCUAGGCUAUCCCUGAGAAGGGCAAACUCACCCUGCAUCCAGAACAGGGCUGCUAGCCUGUCCCCUUCUUUUCAACAAUGUUUGUCCUGCAACAAAGAGAGACAGGGCUUGGGGAGAGGUGGCUCAGUGGUUAAGAGCACUUGCUGCCUUUGCAGAGGACCUGGGUUCUGUCCCCAGCAGCUCACAACCACCUGUAACCCCAGUUCCAGAGGGAUCUGACACCCUCUUCUGAACGCCAUAGGCACCAGGCUCUCACAUGCUGCAUAUACAUACAUACAUACAUACAUACAUACAUACAUACAUACACAUCAAGGCAAAAACACUCAUGUACAUGAAAUAAAAUAGAUCUUAAAGAAGACAAGACUCACCAUGGUCCACGAGGCACAAUAUAUUUAUUAGAUACUUAGCUCUACAGACAUGAGUUUUCUCUCUCUCUCUCUCUCUCCCUCUCUGUGUUUUGCUUUGCUGUUUUUUUAAAGACUUAUUUAUUUAUUAUAUGUAAGUGCACUGUAGCUGUCUUCAGACACUCCAGAAGAGAGCAACAGAUCUCAUUACGGAUGGUUGUGAGCCACCAUGUGGUUGCUGGGAUUUGAACUCAUGACCUUCGGAAGAGCAGUCAGUGCUCUUAACUGCUGAGCCAUCUCACCAGCCCUUUGCUUUGUUUUUGAGACAGGGUGUCAUUAUGUAGCCCCAGCUGCACUGGAACUUGCCAGGUAGACCAGCCUGGCCUUGAAUUCACUGAGGUCAUCCUGCCUCUGCCUCUGGAGUACUGGAACUAAAAGUAUGAGACACCGCAGUUGGAUGCUUCCUUCCUUCCUUCUUUCUUUCCUUUCUCUCUUUUUAAAUUUUAUUUUGUUUUGAGAUAAGGUCUCAUGUAGCUGAAGCUGGCCUUGAACCCCUGAUCUCCCUACAUAUUGUCUUCCAAGCACUUGGGCACUGCAGGAAUGCACCAUCAUACCUGGCUUCUCCAACCCCAACUUGCUUUGGGGGAGGGGGAUCUUAGAGAUAGGGUCAUAGCCCAGCCUUGAUCUUCCUACCUCAGACUCCUGAGCCAGUAACUGGGCUUAUAGGUAAUGUAUACUAAAACCACAUCCAAUUCUGACCCACGUUCUCUCCCAUUACUCUUUGUUCAGCUACACUGACUUCUAGUCUGUCCCUCAGUCAAGUUACACUGACCUCCCUAAUUCUAAUUCUACAGUUUAAGGUCUAAAUUUUAGACGAAAAGCCCCUCAACCUGGACACAUCUUUAUCCUUUCUGCCUAGCUCAAACAUCACCCUGCUCCUGUCUUCUUUGUUACUCCCUCUCUUCCCCUCUCUGGUGCCCUCUAUAGCCUAAUACCACCUCUUCAGUAGUCACUUCUUCCCAGGUCACCUCAUUUGGGAAAUGUGAUGGUAGUCUACUUUGCAGAGUCUCCCCGAGCACCCUUGCUCUGAGCAAUCUUGCUGCGUGUACUUUAUAAAGAGACAUUGUUGCCACUUAACAGAUGAGAAAACCUAUAGAUAAGGUAUUCUAACAAUGCAGGCUCAGGGAUUCUAGUGUAGAUAACCCAGGAAGGCAGGAGAAGAAAGUGGUUAAGUCUGGAAUUGCAAGACUAGAGCUUUUAAAUAGAGUCCCCGUCCUACCCCCAUCCAUCCCGGACAAACGUGAUUUGCAAUGUAUCGGCCAGAACCCAUUCGCCCCCUGCUGGUUAAGACUUGAGUCCAGGCAUACAGGAGUAAUCAUGGUCACUCAGUUACUUCUGGGGGGUUGGAUAGGUCCAACCUGUGUCUUGAGGCCCAGACCUUGUGCCCCCACCAUCUGCAGAGCAUCAGGGCAGCAUCUGAAGCCCACAACGCCUACUGCAAGUCAUUUUCUUAAUGUGUUGACCUUUUCAACCAACCCCAGGCUCUGCUACCCUGUCAGAAGACAGAGAGCGAUCCAGCACCCCCAGAACCCCACCCAGCUUUGGGCUGGCUUCUGAUGAUCCCUAUCCCAUUUUUGUUUUCUGUCCCUAGACUCUGGCUCAGCUGAAGUCAGGGCUGACUUGGACUUCAGAGCCACAGCCCCCUGCUGGUCCCGGUUCUGGUCACUAAGUGGGGUUGGGAACAAAACAAGAUCGCUUAUGUUCUUAAUGGACUCUGUAACAGUGCUUUUUGUUUUGUUUUGCAUUGCCCACCCACUCUGACCCCACGCUGGCCACUAAUCCCCGGAGGCUCUCCCGCUUAGCUUACCGU